CUAGAAGUGUUUCAUUUGCGUCAGUUUGCAGUGGAGCUGGAUGGGGCUGUGUUCAGGGUGCUUUUUAACUCUCUGUGACUGGCAGGUGCAUGAUGUCACGAUGAGGUUAGCUAUCUCGCAAAAAGAUGGGGAAUGACAUGGGAAGCAAUUUAGGAUUAACAAAGAGCUAUGGACAUCAAAGCACAAAGUGACAGCUCCGGUCGUCGCACUGCAGAGGCAGAGAAAUGUGGGAAAGCUUUUUAUACACUUUCUGGAAAUUGUUUUCAUUGCACAGUUAAACUAUCCACAGAAAGGUCAUGGGAAGUGCGAAUCUAGUGGCAGGAUGUCAAAUUCUGUGAUAGGAUCAAAAGAACCCAACUACUGUUAUCACUGAAAUGCAAGCGAUGUAACAUUUUAUCAACCAGAAAUGGAGAUUAUGGAAGCUCCACUUCCUGGGUGGAUGGUAAAGCAUCAAGACCUCUAAUUCAGCCCACUCUCUGUGCACUGACCUUCUCUGACUGACAGAGGCAGUAGAUGUUCUCUUGAAAGAAAAAAGACCACUGUUGUUCAAGCUCAGAAAGCUCAAGAUGUCA